rnacentral:rRNA from 1 species
AUUGAACGCUGGCGGCAGGCCUAACACAUGCAAGUCGGGCGCGCGGCGGAAGGGUGAGUAAUGUAUGGGGACUGCCUGAUAGAGGGGGAUAAAUACUGGAAACGGUAGCUAAUACCGCAAACCAUCAGGUAACCCCUAUGGGAUGAGCUUGUAGGUAAGGUAACGGCUUACCUAGGCGAAGAUCCCUGGCUGGUCUGAGAGGGUGAUCAGCCACACUGGGACUGAGACCCGGCCCAGACUCCUACGGAGGCAGCAGAGGGGAAUAUUGCACAAUGGGCGCAAGCCUGAUGCAGCCAUGCCGCGUGUAUGAAGAAGGCCUUCGGGUUGUAAAGUACUUUCAGUCGGGAGGCGUUACCGACAGAAGAAGCACCGGCUAACUCCGUGCCAGCAGCCGCGGUAAUAC